UUCAGGGUAAGGUGGUGGAAAUGUGGAAGUCAUCAGCAGUUAGUUCUUUUCAUAAAGGAGAAGAUGCUGAAAAUCUAUGUCUGCCAAGCGCUGGCCUGAAUGCCUGGGGAUUUCUGCACUCCAGUUUUAUGGACUCCUGGCUACACACAGGCUGUGACCAAGACUUCCACAGCAGUGCCAUCCAGCGAAGGGACCGCAGUGACUCCCGUCUUAUGUACUCGCCUCCCUGUGUAUAUCCUGGUUGCCACUUCUGUGGUGUUUUGGGCAGCUCACAAUCCCUCCAUAGGGAUGUAUGUCUCCAUAGGGAUGAAUGUCUCACCCCCGUCUUGUGUCACAGAAAAGAAAGUGUGGACUCUGGUGCUUCUGGCAUCUCAGUGUUAAUAUCAUUACUCUGUUAAUUGUAUGGGGCUGACAAUUAGCUGUGUCCCUGUUGCAAACCCAGCAGGAAGGUCCUGAGUCAGGGCUCAAGGGGGUAAAAAGAAACUCAAUGGUUUUCUUCAUUUUAGUCUUAAUCGAAACUGAGUUGAAACUGGACUUGAGGUGGCUGAGUUUGUUUAUUUGUGUUGAAUGUUUCCCUCAGUCUGAGGACUCGCAUGUGCUGGUGACAUCUGGGGUUUUUCGGCUCAGUGGGAGCGAGCCUUACCCUGAAGUCACUCCCUGGAGGGUGACACAGCUUAGUUGUCCUCAGUAGGGACAUCACUGCAUGAACUUGGCAUGCCUGAAUUGGUGGGACUCGUGUUGCAUGCUGUACCUGCCGCUUUUUAAUAUAAACAGAAUAAGAGCAAAGCCCAGGGAUAACUGUUGUUGUAUGUCAGUGUCAGCCAGUACUUAGGCUUUAAGAUCAUGAGGCCUAUGCAGAUCUGAAAUACCAACAAUCAUUUUUGGGGGAGAAGUGGUAACGCUUUAAUAUCUGUUCCUCCAAAUAGCUGGAAUUGAUUACAAGCCUAGCUGAAGGUGGUGUCCUUGUAUUGGACAGUUUACAGUUCAGGCUCUUUCCUUAUUUAUUCCUAUAGAAAGGCAGCUAUGUUUGCUCAUUUCCCCCUUUUCUGAACAUUAAGUAGAAAGGGUUAGAAACUUUUUUAGUGAAAAGUGUAGGCA
rnacentral:lncRNA from 1 species